CGAGACUAUUACCACCGCACAUGUCACUAUACAUGGAUCGAUCUGGGCAGACAAGAAGCUAACUGGACACGUUGACACUUUUUGUAUGUAACAACACUUGGAGUUAGACUUCUUGACUCUUUUUCAGUCAGUUGGUUCAUCAACAGGUUCGAAAAUGCAAAUAUAUGGCCGUAAUCACUUAUACCAGAUGUCGUCUGCAGUUUGACACUCGCCAACAGAGCUAGACAUUCAGCCUUUGUCCGCCGAGAAGAAAUAGUGUUCAGGAUAUUCUUAGAUAAAGUAUCGUUAUCACGACAAGGUGACAAAUCAAACGAUGCUGAUGACUAAAUAGGUUUGAUAUUUGAAGCGACGGAAGCACCAGCCAAUUAUUUCCCGCUUCGCGCGCGCGGUCUCCCAGUCGAACUCAAGCGAGUAGCAGACGAUAACUCGCGCAGCUGAUUCAGUUGUAUAUCUCAGUAUAAAGCCAGGAGGGGCUCUUGUCGGAUGAUGUCGGGAGCGCCGUAAAAAGUUGAAAAGUUUGAAUCAUCUCGCGGUGUAGAUGUUUGUUAGCUUGGCUGUGUUUCAUUUCCGCUGCGAGGUCGCUUGGUAACGGUGACAUUCCAUAGCAACACGAGGUUUCAGCAUCUUGACCACACAUUCGGAUCGCGUCGACUGGUUGGUUGUUUUGAAAACUCUAUGAGAGGAAGUCUGCAGGUUGCAGUCAUUACCCCGGCACGCUCAUUCUUAAUUCGCAGAUUUAAAUAAUUCCACAAACUGGCGUCACAUCCACACAAAAACCAACUGUUUGCAACUUUUCCAAAUUUGAAACCUUCAAUGCAAAGACGUCUACGUGUUCCCUGACGAUGUGUGCCUGUGUUGGAUUUCUGCUGUCGUUCCUAGGGACGGUGACUGUGACGAACGUCAACGCCUUCAAUAUCGACACUCGUGAUCCGAAAUUUUUUUCCGGUCCUGAGGGAUCGUAUUUCGGGUACACAGUCGCAAUUCUCUCGGAGUACCUAGACUAUCACGGAUAUCAAGAAAUGUGGAUGUUGAUUGGGGCUCCUUUAGCCGACGACGCAGACCUUCCUGAACUUGACCGCCCGGGAGUGUUGUACAAGUGUUCCUGGGCAUACAACUCGUGUGAGAGAGUCAAUGUGGAUGAUUCAGGAAAUAUUCGCCAGAUCGUGCCCAAGUGGAAGAACGUCACGCUACACCACAGUAAGAACAAGCAGUGGCUUGGGGCGACGUUAGACAUCAACAUGGACGGCGACAACGGUGUCGUGGUUUGCGCCCCGAGAUGGAGGGACAGGGAGUUUUUUGUUCAAGGUCAUGAGUUCAUGAAUGGACUGUGUUACGAAGGCACCGGUCAACUGUUGUUUAACGAAAGUAGUUCCUGGCCUGUGCUGGAGUCAUUCAGGAAGCAGAUUCAUACGCAAGGACAUUAUAUGUACGGCAUGGGAGCAAUGGGGUUUUCUGCGGAGUACUCCAAGGACGGGGAGUUUCUAGUGAUGGGAUCCCCAGGACUUAACGACUGGACAGGUGGAGUUAUUCGUGUGAGCGGUGGCCAUCAAUCCAGGCCAAAGAUAUUCGAACCAUCUCGGAGGAUAUUUAAUAACUCUUACAUUGGUUACGCAAUAACGACGGCCCAUUUGUCCUCUGACGCAGUUUUCAUCAUCGCAGGGGGUCCACGUGCCGAGAACAAAGGCAAGGUGUUUAUUUACGACUACAACUUCGACGUGAUGUUGGUGCUGGAGGGACAUCAGUUUGGCAGUUACUUCGGCGCAUCUUUAUGCGCAGCCGAUUUAAAUGGCGACGGCCUUGAUGACCUUAUUGUUGGCGCGCCUUUAUUCUCAGAGGUCACGGACGAAGGUCAAGUUUAUGUCUACAUCAAUAAGGAGUUUUUCAACCUGGAACUGGAAGCCGAGUUGUCGGGCUCGAACACCCCCGCCUCCCGGUUUGGGACGACUGUAGGUAACAUCGGAGACGUCAACAGAGACGGAUAUCAGGAUAUCGCGGUGGGAGCGCCGUUCGAGGACGGCGGCAGGGGCGUGGUGUACAUCUACAACGGAGCAAAGAGUGGACUACACAAGAAAUUCUCCCAGCGUGUCGCCGCAAGGGACCUCUCGUCCCGACUGUCCAGCUUUGGCUGGAGCAUCUCCCGACCCGUCGACGUUGACAAGAACCAAUAUGUCGACGUUCUCAUCGGAGCCUUCUCGUCAGACAGUGCAGUUCUUCUUCGCACACAGCCUGUCAUAAACCUUCAGGUUACCAUGGAGAUCAGACCACGUGUCAUCCGCCCGGAUGGACAAGCGAACUGUCUGUACAGGGGGGCACCUGCUAUCUGCAUCACGGCGCGGAUCUGUGCGCAGUACGACGGCAUCAACGUCCCGGAGACACUCGAGAUCGACGUCAUCCUGAAGGUGGACACGCUGGAGAGGCACCGCAAUGUCAGAAGGAGGCUGUUCCUGCAGGACCCCGGAAGUAGCCAGGAACGGGUGUCAAUGAACAUCCCCAUGAGACUGUCAGCUGGACGCGAUAUGGACUGCAUGCCAGAGAUUGCCAUCUUCACACGGAAAAGUCGUGACGUCAUCACCCCAUUGCAGAUGGAACUAGAUCACGUGAUCAAACCGGGUACAACUGGUGUGGACAGGCACUGUGAUAUUUGUGCUGUGCUCAACAUAUAUCACCCCCAGACAUUUAAAACACAGGCGAUGUAUGACAGAAGCUGUGGAUCUAAUAAUGUGUGCAACUCCGACAUUAACCUGAUGGCUGUGGCCAGGUACUCGCAGAACGACCGCUACCUGGUGAUGGACGACUCGCCCGUGUUUGAGAUCGAGGUUGACCUCUAUAACACCGGCGAGACAGCGUAUCUCACAGUCGUGACCUUGACCUUCCCCGACAGUAUCAGCUUCAGCCGAGUCAGGAGGGUAAUGGGAAAGAAUGACGUCACGUGCCUCUCUCAGAACGAGGCUGAUACCGUGAAUGACACCGCCAGAAUAGAGUGUGAUAUUGAGAGCCCUCUGGAGAAGAACGAAGAGGUGAUCUUUAGUAUCAGGUUCUAUUCGCCUAUGUUCCAUCACGACGACCUUGAGAACUACAACUUCACCGUCGUUGCGACGACAGCCAGCGAGGACGAGGACUGGGAGAACAACCGGGUCAAUGUCAUGGUCCCUGUCAGGAUGGAGAGCAAGGUCAAGAUAUCAGACGCUUCCCUGCCAGCCCAGAUGCUGUUCUCUCUUGACCCCAAGAUCACGGAGCCUGAAUGGCAGUACGUCAAGCAUGUGUACGGCGUCAAGAACUUCGGACCCAGCCUCUACCCCCGGGGACAGAUCGUCAUCCUCUUCCCCAUGUCCGCCUACAUCGCGUACGUCAAUCAUACGGUGGACCCCCCUAUGAGCAGAUGCAGAUGGACCUACACCUCCAUCUCUUCCGGUGGGUCCAGGACAACAGCUGGACCCACGCUGUUCGCAGCCAAUGAGAGGGAAAGCUACCGUGCGGUCGAGCUGGUGUGUACAGAGAGCGGCUGCAUCAACAUCACCUGCCCUAUAAAGUCUCUGGGUGUGGAUGAACAGUUUUUUAUCACCAUCAACUACAAGGUCAAAGUAUCCAUACUGAAAGACCUUGAGGUGAAGAGGGAGUUGCGCAUCAUCUCAAGUGCUGAACUGUUCGAGCCCUAUUCCGACAAGUUUAUAUCUCUCAGCAAGGACAAGAACGCUACAGCUACGACAUAUAUUAACGCAGAGAGGGUCGGUAAAAAAGGAUUCAAAAUCUGGAUUUUAGCCGUCAGCAUUGUCAGCGGUCUUCUUCUAUUGUAUCUACUGGGGAUCAUUCUCUGGAAGUGUGGAUUUUUCCGAAGAAGGAAACGAGAGGAGUUGCAAAAACUUAUCCAGACGUCGGAAUCGGAAAAAGAGGCAUUGAACACGGUUAACCUACCGGGUCAUGACCCCGUUAAUGACGUCAUGGUACUUCCGGCGAAUAAUCAUUUCACCCCUGCGCACGAAGAUGUAAAUUUCAACAAUAAUCUGAAUAACCACUGGCCGCCGCCACACCCAGCGUUCAGCAAUGACACAUACUUAGAACCCAUCAACAUGAAGUCAUAGGGGACCAGGACUGAAUGCAUCACGUCAUCUUGAAAUGCUCAUAGGUGCAAAACGGAGACCGUCCAAUCUUGGAAGAGUUCGUCGGUUGGGGAGGACUUUAUGGUGCUUUUGAACGCUUCCACACAAAGGGACGAGAGCGGGAACGAAUUAGACUACAAGAACGAGUAAAGUGUAAAGUGCAGGAGUCUCUGAUGGCGUCCGUUUUUGUCAUGACGUCACAGCCACGUGACUAUUCUGCCAUUGACUUGACAAUCGUAAUGCUGGAGUGGCUUUAGAAGGAUUUCUUUCACAAAACAAGUUAACCAGCUUACACGUUGAUUCAGAUGUAUUUGUUCCAAGUGAAAAUGCGACACCAGUGCAAUUAUUUAUGAGAUUGAGCCUAUAUGAAAUUGUUGCCUGUUCACUUAGAUUCAACAAACUAUUAUCCAGAUCGAGGUGACCAUUAAUUAAUUCUCUUCGAACAAAUGUACAAAUGAACAGAAUAGUAAUUUGGAGUUGUCCGAAAAUUCCGGCCCGGGCGAGUACUGUUAGAAAUGACAAAAAUUGUUGGAACGUUAGUGUGUCCUUAUACAUCGUUAAUCCGGACAGUUCUACGUUCGUAGCGUCUGGACUAAAGAGGUUUCACUAUAUACAAAACAGUAAGAAAACAUUAUAUCUUAACAAGUUAUUUUUGGCUUGACUAAGAUCUAUACAUAGUCCGAUCAAAAUCGCGUUACGAAAUCGACAGCUGGUUCGUGAACUGACGUGCAUAUUUCGGUCAAAUUGCAGGAUUUGCAAAGCAUGUGUACCGUUAACUUAGAGUCAACAGUUAUUUUCCAAAUCUGUCCAUGUUUUUAAUCAAGGUGUUCACAUGAUUUGAUGCACUUCGCGUAGUAAGGAGGGACAUAGAAGGGACAUAACUUGUAAUAGCCACGAUCAAGCCCAGAAAUCCAGCCUAGCUCGGCAUGGUUGGAAACUGGACUUUUUACAACUCCCUUGCCUCGGGAAGAUGAUGCCAUGCAGAAUUACCAUGUCUUGUCAUUAUAAUAUAUAGGGCAUUUGGAGGUAUUCCUUAAACAUUAUCGCUCACACUUUUAGACUUAUUUUUCUAUCAAUCGGCCCCAGGGACGUGUAGCACUGACAGGGUGUUUUCGUUUUUUGGUGUAUUUUUGGCAAUGUGCUGAUGUGACAAAGUGAAAUAGCAUGUUUUUAAACAUUUAUAAUUCCUGUCAAUUCGAGUCAAGUAGUCUGACAGUUAAAGCAUUCGCCUGUCACGCCAUGUACCCGGAUUCGAUUCCCCUCAUGUGUACAAUAUGCGAAAGCAAUCUGGUGUCUCCGUCGUGAUACUGCGAAAAGCGGCGUAAAAUCCUCACUCACAAACUCAUAAUAUCGAGAGUUUGUGUUUGGAGAUUUCACACAUAUAUUUAGUGUAUACGUAGGAAUAUAUUAUCCAUUUUUAUGCGGAAAACAUGUUUGUACUUCAAUAAUAUUGGUAUCCUGGCAGUGCGACAAUUCCCAGCGUCACCACCCAUUAAUCAUCUGUCCAUCGUUGUUGCGUGGGAUCCCUAAUAUAUAACAUUACCACAUACCGAGAUGAAGGAUUCCAUUAAUUGUCCAUCUGAAGCUGGUUUCAUGGUUAAACGAAACCACUUGUAAAUAUCACCGUAUUGAGUUCGAAAACAAUGAAUAACUGCGGAAAUAAUUAUUUUCAAACAUUUUUGUGUGCGAAAGUUGUGACAGUCAUCUAAUUGUAUUGUUUUAUUUGUCCAUAUUGUAUUUAGCUACUGUUUUAAUUGGUUUCUUUGUUAUCUAGACAUAUACAGGUUAUUAUUUAUUUCAGGUACAUAGUCACAACAUUAUCGUAAAAUACAACCUUCGGAUCUAUUUAGAUCUUGGAGUUGAAUUGAUUUUAAGGAUAUACAAUCCCGACCAUCUUGUAAUUCAAAUGCUUUCGACUUGAUUGAAAUUGUUAUGCAAAAUUAAGCAGAAAAGCAUACUGAUUUUAGAAUAAAAUAGCAAUUUCAAACAGUUAACUUUGAAAUUAUUAACCUAAGGUCCGUUCUACAAAACUAUCCUAACCAUAAAACGAUCUUAACUCCCAUACUUUAACAUUGACGUCCGACACUUUAUGGAAGGGGCGGUCGGGUAGCCACCUGGUUAUAGGUUUCGCUCGUCACGCCGACGACCCGGGUUCGAUGCCCGACAUGGAUACAAUGUGUGAAGCCCAUUUCUGGUGUCCCCUGCCGUGAUUUUGCUGGAAUAUUGCUAAAAGCGGUGUUAAACCAACUCACUCACUCUCUUUGUGGAACGUAACCCGGAUGUAUAACGGACUGAUUCAGGGAAAUGAUUAAGUCGACCAAAAUGAACACAAAAGUAUUGAUAAGUCGAAAUAGAUUCUUUAAUACGAAGUAACAGUAUUCACCCGACAGAAUCCGGAUCGUUCUCUAAUUCUCCAAUAUCGGCACUAUGCAUGUGUCAACUACGGAUUUCGCGAGUUAAAGAUGUUUCAAGUAUAAAUGUCUAUGUACCACGUGACGACCCUGCUACGCUUUGUGUCAGUAGCAAAGACAUGUCCCUCGCUGUGUUGUUUUAUAAUACGUGCUGUUAUUUCAUAAAUCACUGUUUGAUCAUCCUCCAUUAACCAGGGUAUUUAUCUCCAUUACGAUAAGUACCCUAAAGCUGUUCGCCGCCAUAGCUUUGCUUCGGAAGUGGCGUCACCAUCUCUUAUCACCAAUAAGAGUUUCUUUCGCUCAAAAGUGUGAUUUGAUUGGACGGCUAUUUUUAGUGCCCAGUCAAUCAAACCUGAUUCAAAACGAUGUUAUGGUAUAAAAUGGAUGGACGUAUUAUUUAUCAUAAUAGAAUGUAGACAUAGUACACUGUAUACUCGAGGAUGUUAUAUGAUGGGUAUAUGGGACUUUGAAUGUUUAAUUGAGCGAGUGUGUGAACGUUAUUCAGAAAGUAUAUUUGUACAUGCCAUGCUUUAUGAGGACUGAGAAUGGAGGUGAUGUUUCAAGAGCUAUUAUUUAUUUAUAUCAUGUUGCAUAAUGACGAUCCGGAACACAUUGAUACAUACGGAUUAAUUCUAUCUAUCGUUUGUAAAAUCAGUCUUCCUUUCGGAAAUGAAAGUAUUAAAGAAACAAACAUUGACACGGAUAUUAGCCCUGCGCAUGAAACAAGAGAAAACAGUCUAGCCGACUCUUUUACAAUGAAACCUUGUUAAUCUGGACCCCCUUUCUCGCUUCUCGGUUUAUAACUGUUAGAGGCGUCUAGGUCAAUAACUGUUAGAGGCGUCUAGGUCAAUUAACUGGUUGAGGCGUCUAGGUCAAUAACUGUUAGAGGCGUCUAGGUCAAUAACUGUUAUAGGCGUCUAGGUCAAUAACUGGUUGAGGCGUCUAGGUCAAUAACUGUUGUAGGCGUCAAGGCCAACAACAGUUAGAGGCGUCUACGGCAAUAAUUGUUAGAGACGUUUUGGUCAAUAACUGUAAGAUACGUCUAGGUCAAUAACUGUUUGAGACGUCCAGGUCAAUAACUGGUUGAGGUGUCUAGGUCAAUAACUGGUUGAGAUGUCUAGGUCAAUAACUCUUAGAGGCCUCUAGGUUAUAACUGUUAGAGGUCACUUGUACUGGGAACUGUCACGUCAGGAAUACAAGGUUUCAUUGUGUAUGGAUGUGAUGUGAAUAUUAAUAGAUACUUUCCUGCUGCAAUGUUAAAUCUUGCUAUACAGGUAGUCUUAAUAGUACUGAUCUCAAAAGUGCGGGGUCGAAAUAAAUUUUAAAUAGUAUUCUUAUACAGCCAUUGUGGAUACACAAUGUACUGAUUUGACUCAUUCUUGCAUUGAUAAUUAUGAUUCAAUAUUAUGAGAACAACGACCUCACCUGAAGCUCUUUACUAGGCUAGCUCUCCAAAAAAUGCGAACUAGGCUCCGGCUCUGGGCCCCGUUCCACAAAGCGAUCCUAGCGCUACGACCAUCGUAAACCAGUGUUAAAGUAUGAGAGCCACGAUCACUUUACCGCUAAGAUGGCUUUGUGGAACGGGGUCCUGGUCUUCAUAGAAAGUCUGGGUGAUAUCCUUUCUUUCUCUUGGAUUUCAAAUUUAUGACGUAUGUAUAAUUAAAGAUAAUGAUUGGCCUAGUUACGCAGGGACUCUUUCUCCGGUCCACGCGUAAAACUGAUAUCAACAAGGACUUGGCCUAGACUGGGAAAGGGCCCACCCAAUACCUUAGGGCGCAGUUCCCCGAGCCUGGUUUCAUGGCUAGGCUGCGCUUGCGCUCUGUGUAGGGCAAGCGCAGCCUAUUCCGGGAACCAUUCUGCAGUUCCCUUUGAAACAAGAUGGGCAGAAAACCGGAUGUAGAUUCUAAUUUAACCGGAUAUAGAUUUUAAAUAAAUUAAACCAGACGAGUGUUCUACGAGAACCGGAUAUUACUCGGCUAGUGAAAUGAGUCGUGACUUGUGACUGUUUUACUCUGCGAUGUCUUGAGUAACACACAGAAUCCAUUAAUGCCGGAAUGUGGGACAUCUGGUCACCACAUUGUACCAUGAAGUUGUGCCAAAUGUGUCUUUUAUUCCCUAUAUGUAUAUAUUUGAAAUAUUUGUAAUAUAAACAUUUUGUAUUUUGAACCAUGCGUACAUGCUCCGCUGUUGUGUCAGACUCUCACAUGAAUUGUUCAUAUUUUUGAAGGUUUUACUAUAAAUGACCACGUUUCUGUAAUGAUAUUACAAUCGUAUUAUGCAUGUAUUAUUGUGACGUAAUGUUGAGGUGAAAUGGGGUUUAACGUCGCGUUCAAGAUUAUUGCACCUAUAUAGCGACGUGCAUGCACGUGUGUGGGUGGGUGCUUGUCCAGUGCGGACAAAGGCUGGUUUUAUAGUGCUAUCUCACUGAGAUACCAUGCCGCAGUUUAACAUGAAUACGCCACUCAAACACAGGAUACUGACUCCGAGCCGACCAGUCCUUGUUCAUAGAUGUUCUAUCCCCCUUUAAUGCCGAGCGCCAGGCACGGAAACAACAAGCACUAUCUUAACGUAUUUUGGCAUGACGCGGCUGGGGAUCGAAUCCUGACUUUCCCCUAUGAGGUAAUAACAUGUUUGUUGAGACCAGAGUGAAAACUAUAUACGGUGCUGUAUAUUUUGAUAAAAAGAAUAUGUGUGGUUCACAAGCACAAGCUAUAUAGUUAUCAUAGCGGAAAUAGCCGAAGAAAGGGGAGUGAGAUCCAAGUCCAACUCAUCGUGCCAUUCCGGAGCUACGGGAUGAAGAGGUUGUGAGUUAGCUUUGAUUGUAAUUACACCUUUAAGUCAUGUUCAAACAUCGCAAGUUCCCGACAUGGCUGGGUGUGGGGUAUGUAUUAUAUACACCUGGAUACAGAGAAGCACCACCCCGUUUCUUUUAUGUUGUAUCUUGUACUGCCUUGUAUCUUUUACAAAUAUCUACAUAUGAAAUUGGUCAUAUUUUGCAAAAUGUCUAAUGAACCGACUAUUUUGAUAUUCUAGAGGAGGAGAGCUGGGAUUUUGAAUGGAGAACAUUUUCUUCAACUACAGCUGCAAAACCAGAUUUCUUUUUAAAAACACAAUUAAAACUAUGGGCCUAAAUUUGUUUUCCUGAAAACACAUUGCAACAAUGUACUUUUUUGUGGCAGACAUUAUUUUACUGAAGUAAAAUAUCUUUUUAAAGAAAUGUCGGGGUAAUUAAUUUUUAUGGAUAAAAUCCCAGCCAAAAAUGUAAGGAAAGAUCAUGAAAACCGGAACGUGACAAUUUAAUUAAUUGUUUAGAAGUCGGUAGAGAAUGAAGACAUGAAAUGUUUAUGUAUAACAACUUUUCUAUACGUUUUCCGCGUCUGAGGUACCAGUUUCCUUUUAAAAGGUAAAUGACAGUCCGAAUUAAUCCCCAGCAACCCAUGCUUGCCAUAAGAGGCGACUAACGGGAUCGGGUGGUGAAGCUCGCUGACUUGGUUGAGGCAUGUCCUCGAAUACCAAAUGCGUAGAUCUUUGCCCACUAUGUCAAACACUGGAUCGUCUGGUCCAGACCGCCAUCCUAUAGCUGGAAUAUUGCUGAACGCGGCAUUAAACCAAAAAUAUAUGAAUGACAGCCAUUCACAUGUUGAGAAGCACCGACAGGUCGUUAGAAA
rnacentral:misc_RNA from 1 species